rnacentral:tRNA from 1 species
GCCGUCCUAAGUUAAUUGGUAGACUUCUGCACGCGGGGAGCCAUCCCCAGAUGCGGAAAGUGCAGGUUCGAAUCCUGCGGUCGGAA